rnacentral:tRNA from 1 species
GAGAUAUAGCUUAGUUGGUAAAGUACUUGCCUUACAAGCAGAAGGACCUGAGUUUGAUUCCCAAAACUCA